rnacentral:rRNA from 1 species
AAUGAACGCUGGCGGCAGGCCUAACACAUGCAAGUCGAACGGAUCCUUCGGGAUUAGUGGCGGACGGGUGAGUAACGCGUGGGAACAUACCCUUUGGUACGGAAUAGCCACGGGAAACUGGGAGUAAUACCGUAUGUGGUCGAGAGACGAAAGAAUUAUCGCCAAAGGAUUGGCCCGCGUUGGAUUAGGUAGUUGGUGGGGUAAUGGCCUACCAAGCCGACGAUCCAUAGCUGGUUUGAGAGGAUGAUCAGUCACACUGGGACUGAGACACGGCCCAGACUCCUACGGGAGGCAGCAGUGGGGAAUCUUAGACAAUGGGGGAAACCCUGAUCUAGCCAUGCCGCGUGAUCGAUGAAGGCCUUAGGGUUGUAAAGAUCUUUCAGGUGGGAAGAUAAUGACUGUACCACCAGAAGAAGCCCCGGCUAACUCCGUGCCAGCCGCCGCCGUAAUAC